rnacentral:rRNA from 1 species
UCCACAAUGGACGAAAGUCUGAUGGAGCAACGCCGCGUGAGUGAAGAAGGGUUUCGGCUCGUAAAACUCUGUUGUUAAAGAAGAACAUAUCUGAGAGUAACUGUUCAGGUAUUGACGGUAUUUAACCAGAAAGCCACGGCUAACUACGUGCCAGCAGCCGCGGUAAUACGUAGGUGGCAAGCGUUGUCCGGAUUUAUUGGGCGUAAAGCGAGCGCAGGCGGUUUUUUAAGUCUGAUGUGAAAGCCUUCGGCUCAACCGAAGAAGUGCAUCGGAAACUGGGAA